rnacentral:rRNA from 1 species
AGUGAACGCUGGCGGUAGGCCUAACACAUGCAAGUCGAACGGCAGCACAGUAAGAGCUUGCUCUUACGGGUGGCGAGUGGCGGACGGGUGAGGAAUACAUCGGAAUCUACUUUUUCGUGGGGGAUAACGUAGGGAAACUUACGCUAAUACCGCAUACGACCUACGGGUGAAAGCAGGGGAUCUUCGGACCUUGCGCGAUUGAAUGAGCCGAUGUCGGAUUAGCUAGUUGGCGGGGUAAAGGCCCACCAAGGCGACGAUCCGUAGCUGGUCUGAGAGGAUGACUGGCCACAAGGGAACUGAGACACGGUCCAGAAUCCUACGGGAGGCAGCAGUAGGGAAUCUUCAGAAAUGGGGGAAAGCUUGACGGAGCAAGGGAGAGUGAGUGAUGAAGGUCUUCGGAUCGUAAAACUCUGUUAUGAGGGAAGAACAAAUGUGUAAGUAAAUAUGCACGUCUUGACGGGACCUAAUCAGAAAGACACGGCUAACUACGUG